rnacentral:sRNA from 1 species
GUUUUGCGUGGGAGGCGGUCCCGGGAUUUCAGGGGUCUACGGGCUCUCAUGGCGAAUGCAACCCGAAGAGAGAGUGAGCUGUAUCUUCAGAGUUGUCUCCGUCUUUCCAAGAACAGAACAAAAUGAACAAGGGUAUUGUGCUCACAAACCAGAGGUGAUCUUCAGGCUGGAACAAGGAGAAGAACCAUGGAGACUGGAGGAAGAAUUCCCAAGCCAGAGCUUUCCAGGCUCCUCUUGGCUAUGGUGGUUUCCCAGACUUUCCUUGUUUUGGAUGACCUUGACAGUUUGGAGGAGUCCUGGUGAGAAGUCUGGACAGCUGAUCACCUGAAAGAGAGGAGCCAAGAAAAUCAAUCUAAACAUUUGUGGGAAGUUGUAUUCAUCAAUAAUGAAAUGCUGACUAAGGAACAAGGCCCCUGAGGUGUUCAUGCACUGAUCCUGGACCUUGGAUUAAACCCCUGCAGUGCUGGAAGAAGAGGACUCUGCACUGCCUGCCACACCAGGACUGGAAGAUCCAUGGCCUUCCCUUCUUCCAAACUACCUUCCCAUGAGGUGGGGAUGGUGGUCACAUCUCCAACACUGGCGUGCUGUGGAAGAGACAUCAGCAUUCUCUGCAACAAAUUUGGAAACAGCCUGAAGAGACGUUUCUACUUCAAAGAGAUGCACUGAGGAAGUGCACUGGCACUGCUGGGGACUCACCUGGGGCCCAGGGCUCAGGCUUCUCAUGUCCUUGGAGCUGCUGUCCUCCCGAGGAGCGUCCACACUGCCGCCAGCUCAGCUUCAGGUGUCCUAUCUGGUUUUGAAACCAAAUCUAAGUGGGAAAAGAAGAUUCAAGUUUUAUCCGAUUUAGUCUACAUAAUUUUAAGUAUCUAUUUGAGCUCAACACCAAGAAUCACUUCCUUCUCUGUCCCAUCUGUGGUCUCCAAAGGAAAGGUCCCUGGGUUAGGAGACACUGGCUAGCAUCCUAAAGCCAGAGCUGGCCGACGGGUGUGUGUCCACUCUUCCUUCACCUCUUCCCCACCCUACAGUUGUUUUUGUCUCAUGCUCACUUGCUCUUUCUGCCUCCCUCUCACUCUUUAGGUCUCACAAAGGCUUUGGUCAAGGACUGACUGACUUUCCUUGGCUAUCUGUCAUCUCCCCAUAAUCAAAGGCAUUUCAUAACACACAAUCCAUGUGAAGGGACCUCUGAUCAAAAUUCACUUAAAGAGGAGCUCACUAAUUACCAGUACUUACUGCUGAGCCUGGAAUCAUUCGUAUAUACCCCAGAGUUCAUUCAUUCCAGACGCAGUACUAGAUAAGGAGACUCCUAUGAGCCAAAAACCUAACUCUGAAUAGACUGUGACUGUCAUAAUCAAACCCUGUGGCUGCCUCCUUCUUACUGGAGGGCAUAGAGGAAUGCAGAUUUUUGUUUGUUUAUUUGUUUGUUUUGAGACAGAGUGUCGCUGCAAUGCCCAGGCUGAAGUACAAUGGUGCGGUCUCGGCUCACUGCAACCUCUGCCUCCCGGGUUCAAGCAAUUCUCCUGCCUUAGCCUCCCGAGUAGCUGGGAUUACAGGCACGCACCAUCAUGCCCUGGCUAAUUUUUGUAUUUUGUGUAGAGAUGGGGUUUCACUAUGUUGGCCAGGCUGGUCUUGAACUCCUGACCUUGGGUGAUCCACCUGCCUCGGCCUCCUAAAGUGCUGAGAUUACAGGCGUGAGCCACCAUGCUCAGCCAGGAAUGUGCUUUUAAUCAUUUCUUAGUGUUUCAUGUGGGGACUUGAUAACUCACAAUAAGGAUUCCAUCCUAAAAGACAAGCAAUACCUGUUGACCUGCUCUUAUGUCCCAGGCAGUUUGUAAAACUGUUUCAUCUAUUCUCUCAAUAUGUCACUUCAAAUACGAUCAGGAAAGAAGUCUUAAACAUGGCUGGAAAUGUGGGGGCAACAAAUACAUUAGUGAACACCCUGGCGGAUCC